rnacentral:ncRNA from 1 species
UCGGGCACUUGUGCUCGAGCCGGCAAAUUUCGGAAUGGGGAGUUUGGCUGGGGCGGCACAUCUGUUAAAUGAUAACACAGGUGUCCUAAGGUGAGCUCAAUGAGAACAGAAAUCUCAUGUAGAACAAAAGGGUAAAAGCUCACUUGAUUUUGAUUUUCAGUAUGAAUACAAACCGUGAAAGCGUGGCCUAUCGAUCCUUUAGUUCUUUUGAAUUUUAAGCUAGAGGUGUCAGAAAAGUUACCACAGGGAUAACUGGCUU